AAUGAUACCAAUUUUUAACUUACUAGCAACUGUCUCUUUCAGUUGGGUACCAAAGCCGUGGGUGAUCAUGCGGAGCUCUCCCUACCUGUGCUGUGCUCGCUCACUCUUCUGGAUCAGCAGGAUGUAGUCAUUCAGGCUGAGGAGUGAGGAAGGGGUACAAGUUGGAACUGUUAUCAGCACAUGUUAUGAUGAAUUCAGGGAGUUGGUCAACAAAUGUAUCCAUGAAAAAACCAGGAAAAGAAAUUUUGACUGCUUCUUGCUGCUUGUUACUGUGAAAGAUAAUCGACUGCUUCCUGAUUCUUAGGAAAAGGAAACAAAAGUUCACUCCCUCAACGGAAGAGGAACCCAUCGUUCUAGCCAAAUGUACCUG
rnacentral:lncRNA from 1 species